AGUCUACAAAAAUAUAUUUUUCCAUUUACCGGUGUUUCAACUAGCUUUAUUGUUUCCUGUACAUUUUCUUUGAUAGAAGAACUUAAAUGCAUAAAGGCCUAACAGUAUUUACCCUUAACAGGGCAAACACACUUUAACUCAAAACAUUUACUCUAGGUUUAAUCACAUCAAAACAAAACUGAUGACACACUGUCACAUUUAAUUUGCACCUAAAUAAAACAGCAAAUGAGUUUGAGAUCUGAAACCUUUUAUUGCACUUUAUUAAAUUUUUGUAAGGCCCUCAAACCUAUUAUUUAAUGUGUUCAAUUUUGAUGACAUUUAAAGACUGGCGGACACCCUUCUUAGAAAGUUGUCUAUGUAUCAUAGAAAAAUUUCUAAGAGACCUUAUCUCUUAAUCUAAUGGCAUGUUUAACAGCAACAGAAGAUUUGCAGUCCGAAAUGGAUACCAACCAUCUGGGAAAAUUUGCACUUACUGUUGCAAGAGAGCUGCUGCGAUGAAAAGGAAACACUGAUGACGUUAUGACUCCUCUCAAGAUAUCUGUUUUCAAAAUACCAGUGCUUAUAAAUAAUCAAAACAACACACUGAGGUAGAAUUUUGAAAAUAUGGACCGAUGCUUUUAAGGAAGGAAAAAAAAAAACUUUAAAGUGAUACAGUUAAAUCAUUACUAGACAAAACUGGCUAAGAGCUAUUAAUCUAUGGAAAAUCUGCACUCUGAAGAGAACAAUCUAAGCUGACAUUCUGUUAUGAAUCCAUGCAGCACCACCAUCUAGCUACAAAGCAUUUCUAUAAAGUUUUGUGCAGCUUAGAAUAAUUACAUAAACCCAUUCUCUUCUCCUCCCUCAAUUAUUUUUUAAUACAGCCUCUGCUUUUUCCCUGCUGUCUUUCUUAUAAAAAACACUUUUAAUUAGUUUCUAUUAUCAUCUCUAGGAGUCAUCUGUCCCUCCAUCCAUCUUUGACUAAAAAGCCUUGCUUGUUUCAGUCACAGAGACAUCCAUUCAUCCCCUCCUGUUUCUCUUAGUGAACAAGCACUGCUAAACUGACAGUAGAGGAGGCAAGGAGAGGAAAACCACAUAUACAAAUUAGAAAGAUGCCCUUGUGUUGCACCCUUUUUCUUCAUAAAUACUGCCAGUCCCUUUAUCCUCUGAUUAUCAUUGUAUUUCUGAAAACUGAGUAAAAUGGACGCAUUUGUUCUGGAUUCAGCUACUAACCAUUAAAGGUAAGUAUGAUGCAAUCCUAAUAUUCACAGAAGUGAAUUUUACUCCUGCCAAAUACAAAUCUUAAAUUCACUACCAGAAACCCACAGUUUGGUGUCCAUGUCAGCCGUUUGGCAAAAAGAAAGAAGAUUAUAAAAAUUUCAAUAAAUAACUUCUUAAAAGCUCAGCCUCAAUAUAAAAAGGGUUACUUAAAAACCUGAAUAUCACCAAAAUAUGAUGGAUGUAUAACUAUAUCCCCUAUUUGUAACCAGCUUGGACCUGUGUGGUGAGCCCCAAGUGGAUUCAGGCAGCAGGAGUUACAGAAACAAGACAAGUAAAUUACCGCAAGACGUCAUGUUUUUAGGGAUACGGUGUACCAUCCAUGGAAAUACACAAGCAGCUAUCUAGUUCAUUUACAUGUUAGGCCUUUAGCCAACACACUCACUCAAUGAUUUCCUUCAGAGCAAAAGAAAGGUUAAGAGCACACUGGUGAGUCAUCGUAAAUGUAAGUAGCCUAUUAAAACAAUAGAAUUAAAGUCUAAAGAUUAUCCAGAUACCACAGAUUCAUGAAAAAUCAAGCAAAAAAACAAAAUCAGCUAAACAAUAUUUAUAUUACACUGAGCAGCUCAAUACUAUUUCAGCUCAAUACUAAUUUCACAACACCCAUACUUUAUAAAGACGAUAGCAACUCAAAAUAACUUACUUGCCAACUCAGCAGUAAUACAGUUUAAUCACUUGUGCUCUAAAUGUGAGAAAAAUUUCUCCUAGUCUUGAGCAGAAGGCAUGCAAGAGUUGACAUGCAGCAAGUAUCAAAUUCACCAAAAUGCCCCAAAUAACCGAUCAUAAUUUAAGUAAGUAGAAGUAUGACAUUUGUAUUUUAUCAGCAUAGUAGUUAUGCAGACGGUCCCCUUUAUAGCUAACCGAACCAGGUUUGUAUUUCUUACCUAAAAAAAAUAACUGACGUUCUUGGUUUGUGGAUUAAAAAUGCUAUUUUGGUGUCUUCAGUACUCAAGCAACUGUCUUAGAGCAUGUGCUAGUGAACUAACUGAAUUAGAUCACUCUUUAUACCUAUAGGCUGCAGCAGUGGUCAGGCAAGAGCACAUGAUACCCUUCAUUAUGCAAGCCUGUGUUAUUACCAUCAGAAAUUAAUGUUCCCCUGGGGGAAGUAUACACAAGCCUGCUGGAUAAUCUAAUGUCAUGGAAGUCAUGUGUGUGAACUCCAGAAUCCAGAUUUCUCCCUGGAGCACAACUGUUGCAGCUCCCUUUCCUUUAUUAUCCCCUAGAAUGAGGUGUGAUUGCUAAUCACAGUGUACUUGGACACAUUUUUUUAUGUCGUCACCAGGCUGGAAUUUGAACGGGUGUGAAAUGAUGCCAGAACACAACUGCUUACUUUCACAAGUAUGCAAAAAGACUCACUGAAACUCAGAUACAUCUGGUGCGUGUACACCAAAGCGCGCACACGCGCGCGCACACACACACACACACACACACACACACACACACACACACACACAAACACACACACAAACAACUCUCUCAGCUGAAGUCACAGCUGUUUUACAGCGGGCAGAACCCAUUUUGUAUUAGCAGAAAAAGAAACCAUAAUCCCUGUUCACCAUGAACCAGCUUGUACCAAUCUACAAGGCUAGCCAACAUUGCUUUCAGCAGAGAUUAAAACUGUAUAUUUGGCAUAAUUGUUAAACCACAAAACUAAAUUAGAAGCUCAAAAAAAGGAACACUAACAACAUAGAUCUCAUGAAGCCCAAAAUUCACUUUAGUGCUCUGGUACCUGCCGGUGAUUUGACAAAAGCUGCGCAGCCAGCUAGGUUGCAGUAUUUGGAUUCCAAUUACUAUUUACAAACGAAAAAGGGGCUUCAGUUUUUAUCUCCACAUAGUUUCACAUAUAUGCAUGAUAGUUUACAGAUGAUGCCAGUGAACAUACUGGUGUGAUCUAGGUCACAUUGCUCUGAGGAGCACAGAGGACAGCUGAGUUUGGGAGCAGCUUACAUCAAAUGCCAGUGUGCCAAACACAAGGGAUGGAUGCAAAAGAGGCCCAGUAUCACUAUUGAGCACCUGCACCACAACAGCUGACAAUCUCAACAACAAAAUGAUCAACCUACGUUCAAAGUCGGAGUCAUCAUCUUCAUCAUCCUCUCCAUUGGACUCUGUUUGCAUCGGUUCGCCGUCAAACAUCACUCCUUUUCCCGUCUUGCCGCCUGUGCUGGCCCCAUCCUGACUUCUGGUGUCCCGUAAACGGGUAAAGUAUUGUACGGCAAAAUCCACCAGGUCUGACGGCCUUUGUCGGAGCACCUCCACAGUGUAGCCCUGCAGCAGUUCUGUCAACCCAACCGGUAUCUCAAUACUCA